AAAUCGAGCUGCAUUUUGUUUUCCUACAAAGAUAUCUGGUUUCCUCUGUCUGUUGCCCUUUGUGAACGUGUGUUGCUGUGUGCAGUGAAAUGCAGGGUAAAUUCCUGUGCCAGCACAGCCACCUCAUAACCCAGCUGUGCCAGAGCAUCACCACUGCUCCUGCCUCUGCUCCAACAACCCUGCCAUGGCAUGAAGAGACUCAAACAGCAUUUUGCCUGCCCCAGGUACAGAUUGAUGUCUGCAAACUUUCUGCCUAUUAAAAUUGUGCCUCCAUCAGCAUCUCCUUCUGCAGGAACUUUGCGUGAUCUUAAAAUGAAGCUUGUCUGGGUGACACCUGGGCUGCUGGAACCUGUUUGUGGUGCUCAGUGGUUGUGCAUCUCUGAUGACAGUGAUGCCCCCCAAAAUCCCGGGGGGCUGAACCCCACCAGGAGUGGGAGUUGUGCUCUGGACACCACAGGCUGUGACGAGCCCAUCCCUGGGCAGAUGUUAAUCUGAAAACUUCAGCUCUUUGUGCUCAAAUUCUGCACUGGGUUUAGUCACCCAAAGGAAGAGUCACUGUGUUAAGCUGCUGGAAGGCUGGACUUGGUGAUCAAAGUCAGGACUGAGUUGAAGGUUGGACUUAAUGAUCUUGGAGGUGUUUUCUGACCUUAAUGACUCUAUGAUUCUAUGAAGUGUGUUUUUCUUGAACAACCCUCCAUUGCCCACGUGUGCCUGGGUCUGUGUCUGCUGGUGAAGUGUUCUCCAGUGGGUUGGGGCCGUGGGGAUCCUGCACCUUUGGCAGCACAAAAGCAGCUCAGCCACAGCUCUGUGGUGAGAUUCCCCAUGGCCAUGUGAGGCCCCUGUGAUGGUGGGACAGCUGAAUGGUGAGCCAUGAGCAGUCCUACAUGGCAGAGGGAAAACAGAGAGCUUGGCCAGGACCUUUGGACCAAAGAAGUUGGAGAUCUGUAAGGGAAAGAGCUAUU